rnacentral:rRNA from 1 species
GACGAACGCUGGCGGCGUGCUUAACACAUGCAAGUCGAACGGAAAGGCCCUGCUUUUGUGGGGUGCUCGAGUGGCGAACGGGUGAGUAACACGUGAGUAACCUGCCCUUGACUUUGGGAUAACUUCAGGAAACUGGGGCUAAUACCGGAUAGGAGCUCCUGCUGCAUGGUGGGGGUUGGAAAGUUUCGGCGGUUGGGGAUGGACUCGCGGCUUAUCAGCUUGUUGGUGGGUAGUGGCUUACCAAGGCUUUGACGGGUGGCCGGCCUGAGAGGGUGACCGGCCACAUUGGGACUGAGAUACGGCCCAGACUCCUACGGGAGGCAGCAGUGGGGAAUAUUGCACAAUGGGCGGAAGCCUGAUGCAGCAACGCCGCGUGCGGGAUGACGGCCUUCGGGUUGUAAACCGCUUUCGCCUGUGACGAAGCGUGAGUGACGGUAAUGGGUAAAGAAGCACCGGCUAACUACGUG